rnacentral:rRNA from 1 species
GAUGAACGCUGGCGGCGUGCUUAACACAUGCAAGUCGAACGGGAAACCUUUUAAUGAAGCUUCGGCAGAUUUAGCUGGUUUCUAGUGGCGGACGGGUGAGUAACGCGUGGGUAACCUGCCUUAUACAGGGGGAUAACAGUCAGAAAUGACUGCUAAUACCGCAUAAGCGCACAGGACCGCAUGGUCCGGUGUGAAAAACUCCGGUGGUAUAAGAUGGACCCGCGUUGGAUUAGCUUGUUGGUGGGGUAACGGCUCACCAAGGCGACGAUCCAUAGCCGGCCUGAGAGAGUGAACGGCCACAUUGGGACUGAGACACGGCCCAGACUCCUACGGGAGGCAGCAGUGGGGAAUAUUGCACAAUGGGGGAAAACCUGAUGCAGCGACGCCGCGUGAAGGAAGAAGUAUCUCGGUAUGUAAACUUCUAUAAGCAGGGAAGAUAGUGACGGUACCUGACUAAGAAGCCCCGGCUAACUACGUG